GUGGAAGUACAGUAAUGUAUGAAGCUGAGGGGUACUAAUAGACCGAGGGCUUGACCUC
rnacentral:rRNA from 1 species